rnacentral:lncRNA from 1 species
CGAACUCGGGAGCCAAGUUUGGCAGUAGAGGAUGAAGAGAACUAAAUUGCUCCACCUAAGAAAUGAGAGGAAUUUGGAUUUUAUCCCUAAGAGAGACAUGGAGGAGACGGGGAAAGGCUUUCUGAAUAAUAUGAACCAAAGCUCCAUCCAUCAAUCCUGCUGUGCCCCAUGAAGACUUUAACCCUUAGAAUAAGAAUUGCCUGCCCCAUUUCUACAAAAUGAGUGUGUUCUUUGAGCAGAAGAGGAGAGAAGAGAAGAAAUGGAACAAUCUUUGCUUUGGAAAUUUAGCUGACUGGCCUCAUUUGGAAUAAGAGCGCCUUCAAUCCCUGGCCGCAGGCGGGCAGUGGAGCCAACAGUAACACCGGAUGCUGGGAUGCUGGGAGGAGGUCUGGAAGCAUCAGAGGAGAUGCCAGGGAACUUGGAGUCCAGAAGGCGGUAGUGGGUUCCUCUCUGGGGAUGAGUCCCAGUUUCCUCAACUUUGUCCAGACCCCUUGUCCUCAGGCUAAAACCUACUAUUUAUUGGAUAGAGCAUUAUCCUGGAAGCACUAAGAGAUUGGAGGAGAAGGUCCUGAGAAGAGCCAGAGGCCGGGUCUGCUUUGUGUCCUCGGCACCUACUUUCAGUCCAUGACACAUGAAAAGAGCUGGAGUCAGAAGGACCAGGUAACCCUCCUACCAAGGGCCUGGCCUUGCCUUUCUGGUUAGUUUUAGCUCAGACUGAAGCUGACAGUUGUAGCCAAUGGUACAGAUUUGCAAAACAAGGCUUCCUGCAGGAGUAGCACAGUGCAAAGCUUAAAGCCAGGUGAGGGUAUGGAGGGCAGAGCCUUAAAGGUAUACACAGGAGUCACACAUGGGAAUGAUUUGGCCAGGACUGUAGACCAUGGGUAUCAAAGUGUCUUGGAAGGUUGCUGAGAUACUAUGUGAUACACUAUAUGUAUACAUGUACACGAUAUCAGCAAUAACCAUAACGACUUUAAGGCUUCUAGAGAUGGGUUAAUGGUUCCUUUAAAUAGGCUGUAUUGCAAUAGAUUCUGGAGGAGAGGAAGCCAAAGGACUCAUUUUUAUUCUGGUCACAUUGUCCAACAGACAAUGUUUCUUAAUCAAUAUUGAUUCUCUACUUACUUAGUUAAAACACACACACACUUUGUUAUCUAAAUAAGACAUGUUUAUGAGACUCUCUUGCAGCUAGUAGCUAUGUGAUACCACUCUAAGCAAUGAGGCAUCUGCAGAAGCAGCAGAACGGAAAGCCUGGACCUCUUGAUAUAGAUCUGUCCGUGUUUUAUUAUUUUUAAAAAAUAAUAUCCACUUUUCUUUUUCCUGCCAAAGGCACAAAAGAUGAUGAAACAUAAGCGCUGAAGCUGUCACCAUAGACAGUCUGAUGUCCUGCCAAGUAGGGUAAAAAAUAGAAGCCAGGGUAGCAUGGAUUCUGUCACCACCUAAGUACAGUCCCUUCCGAGCCUGUGGUUUUCACUAAGAUGGAGCUUAAGAAAACAGAGUGAAUCACAAACCAUGGCACCACACAUGAAUCAGAUGGUGGAUCAUUGCUUCAGUCCUAGCUUCUCUGGGGCCUGAUGCCUGGGAGGUAGAUGUCCCUCCAUCUGAGUCUCUCCACAUCUGAAGAUAGGCUAUACGGCAGACUGUAAAGAGGCAGGACUCAGGCACAUGGGCGUGGUCUCUGGCUAGACUGAGGGAAGAAGAGUCAUGACGUUCAUUGCUACUCCCCAUUCCCACUCCUGGUCCACUGAGGCAUGCCUUUGCUCUCCACCUCUAUCCAGGACUUACUCCUGUGUUCAUUUUUGCUGGGGUUAGAGGAAGGAGAAGGAAGAGUUGCUAUGGCCAGACUCUUUGGUGGUACUUAAACUGAUUUUGAGCCCACUCAAGUGCCAGUUCCACACCCUUACACACACACACACACACACACACAAGCACACAUAGACAAACAAGCACACCUACACACACACACAUACACACACACACACACACACACACACACCACUCACUUCUACACUGACUGCUGCUCACCUCUAGUCAUUUGCCAAAUUUUAUUCUUUCAUAAAAAAAUUGUUUAUGUCUCCUUUUUACAUGUGACCCACUGAGUUUAAUUAGUUUGUCUGUCUGUUUGUUUGUUUGUUUGUUUGUUUUUUGGCCUGGGCGUGGGUAGAAGGUUAUUUACUGGAACAAGGGCAACUUAUCAGUGGCUACACUACUGAAGAAAAUGACACCUUUCUCCAACACCCUUUAACUGCCAAUAAUCCCGCAGGGAAGGAUGGAGCCUUUGGGGCCCCUCCCCCAUCUUAAUCAUGCACAGGUCUACAUCACGUCCAGGAAACAUCUUUGCUGCUCAUCCUCUGGCUCUUAUGUUCUUUUCUUCUCCUCUUCCUUGAUGUUUCUUGAGCUUUGAAAGAUAGUGUACUGGCUAGUUUAGUGUCAACUUGACACAGCUGGAGUUAUCACAGAGAAAG